rnacentral:rRNA from 1 species
UACGUAGGGGGCAAGCGUUGUCCGGAUUUAUUGGGCGUAAAGCGCUCGCAGGUGGUUCAUUGCGUCGUGCGUGAAAGACCCCGGCUCAACUGGGGAGGGUCGUGCGAAACGGGUGAACUAGAGGCCAGUAGGGGGAUGCGGAAUUCCGGGUGUAGUGGUGGAAUGCGUAGAGAUCCGGAGGAACACCAGCGGCGAAGGCGGCAUCCUGGACUGGUCCUGACACUCAGGAGCGAAAGCGUGGGGAGCGAGUCCGGCG